GAAAGUAAUGAAGGGCGUACGGUGGAUGCCUAGGCUCUUACAGGCGAUGAAGGACGUGAUAAGCUGCGAAAAGCCGCGGUGAGGCGCAAAUGGCCCUUGACCCGCGGAUCUCCGAAUGGGACAACCCAAUAUCUUGAAGAGAUAUUAUCCCGCCGAUGCGGGAGGCGAACGCGGGGAACUGAAACAUCUUAGUACCCGCAGGAAAAGAAAAUAAAGAAUGAUUCCCCCAGUAGUGGCGAGCGACCGGGGAAGAGCCCAAACCGACGUUGUCUCGGCAUCGUCGGGGUUGUAGGACCGCGCCAUCGCAAGAAAGGCCGUGAGUGGAAGCGACUGGAAAGCCGCGCCAUAGAGGGUGAGAGCCCCUUACACGAAGCAGCCCGAAGCGUAGCGGACUCCUGAGUAGCGCGGGACACGAGUAAUCCUGUGUGAAUCCGCCGGGCCCAUCCGGCAAGGCUAAAUACUCGUAAGAGACCGAUAGUGAACCAGUACCGUGAGGGAAAGGUGAAAAGGACCCCUUGCAGGGGAGUGAAAUAGUUCCUGAAACCGUACGCCUACAAGCGGUCGGAGCAUCUUGAAUGAUGUGACGGCGUGCCUUUUGCAUAAUGAACCUACGAGUUGCCGUCACCAGCGAGGUUAAGUGCGACGACGCACCGAGCCGCAGCGGAAGCGAGUCUUAAAAGGGCGCGAUAGUUGGUGGAGGCAGACGCGAAACCGAGUGAUCUACACUUGUCCAGGAUGAAGUCCCGGUAACACGGGAUGGAGGUCCGCACCAAUAAGCGUUGAAAAGCUUCUGGAUGAGGUGAGUGUAGGAGUGAAAGGCCAAUCAAACUCGGAGAUAGCUCGUACUCCCCGAAAGGCAUUUAGGUGCCGCCUGUGGCGUUCCCGACGUGAGGUAGAGCGACUGAUAGGAUGCGAGGGCUUCACCGCCUAUCAAGUCCUGACAAACUCCGAAUGCACGUCGGCCAAGCCAUGGAGUAAGGGCAUGGGUGCUAAGGUCCGUGCCCGAGAGGAGAAGAAUCCAGACCACCGGCUAAGGUCCCGAAAUACUGGUUAAGUUAGACUAACGCAGUCCGGCCCCCAAGACAGCUAGGAUGUUGGCUUGGAAGCAGCCAUUCAUUCAAAGAGUGCGUAACAGCUCACUAGUCGAGGAGCUGGGCGUGGAUAAUAAUCGGGUAUAAAACCAGUUACCGAAGCCGUGGGAUGCUUAAGCAUCGGUAGGGGAGCAUUGCAUGCGGCUUAGAAGGCGGGGCGCGAGCCCCUCUGGAGCGCAUGGAAACGCAAAUGUAGGUAUAAGUAACGACAAGGGGGGUGGGAUGCCCCCCCGCCGAAAGACCAAGGUUUCCUGAACAACGCUAAUCGGUUCAGGGUCAGUCGGGUCCUAAGCAUAAGCCGUAUGGCGAUGGCGAUGGACGAAACGGUUAAUAUUCCGUUACUGUCUUGGUGUGUGACGCGGCGACGGAGUAGUGACACGGCCGCCUCCUGACGGAAAAGGAGGUUGAAGCGCAAAGGUGUUGAGGAAGGCAGGCAAAUCCACCUUCCGAGCCGAAGCGCGAUAGUACGCUGCGCCCUUUAGGGCAAGGCGAUAGUGCCGGUAAUCAGACUUCCAAGAAAACCCGCUAAACUUCAGCAUCAAGUCACCCGUACUCUAAACGGACACACGUAGUCGGGUAGAAUAUACUAAGGCGCUUGGGAGAUUCACGGUUAAGGAACUAGGCAAAUUGACCCCGUACCUUCGGAAUAAGGGGUCCUCGCUUUUGCGAGGCGCAGAGAAUAGGUCCAGGCAACUGUUUAACAAAAACACAGGGCUGUGCCAAUUUGAAAGAAGAAGUAUACAGCCUGACACCUGCCCGGUGCCGGAAGGUUAAGAGGAGAGCUCAUCAGCGAUGAGAAGGUUUGAAUUGAAGCCCCGGUAAACGGCGGCCGUAACUAUAACGGUCCUAAGGUAGCGAAAUUCCUUGUCGGGU
rnacentral:rRNA from 1 species